CUGGCGGCGUGCUUAACACAUGCAAGUCGAACGAACCUUCGGGUUAGUGGCGGACGGGUGAGUAACGCGUGAGAAUCUGCCCUCAGGAGGGGGACAACAGCUGGAAACGGCUGCUAAUACCCCAUAUGCCGCGAGGUGAAAUGAAUUUCGCCUGAGGAUGAGCUCGCGUCUGAUUAGCUAGUUGGUGUAGGUAAUGGCUCACCAAGGCAUCGAUCAGUAUCUGGUCUGAGAGGAUGAUCAGCCACACUGGGAAUGAGACACGGCCCAGACUCCUACGGGAGGCAGCAGUGGGGAAUUUUCCGCAAUGGGCGAAAGCCUGACGGAGCAACGCCGCGUGAGGGAUGAAGGCCUCUGGGCUGUAAACCUCUUUUAUCAAGGAAGAAGAUCUGACGGUACUUGAUGAAUAAGCCACGGCUAAU
rnacentral:rRNA from 1 species